rnacentral:rRNA from 1 species
GACGAACGCUGGCGGCGUGCUUAACACAUGCAAGUCGAACGGGCCUUGUCCCCUUUUUUUUUGGGGGUGGGGUUAGUGGCGAACGGGUGAGUAACACAUGAGUAACCUGCCCCUCACUUCUGGAUAACCGCUUGAAAGGGUGGCUAAUACGGGGUGUUCUGGCCUGCUCGCAUGGGUGGGUUUGGAAAGAUUCGACCGGUUUUGGUUGUUUUGGUGGGGGAUGGGCUCGCGGCCUAUCAGCUUGUUGGUGGGGUGAUGGCCUGCCAAGGCUUUGACGGGUAGCCGGCCUGAGAGGGUGGGCGGUCACACUGGGACUGAGACACGGCCCAGACUCCUACGGGAGGCAGCAGUGGGGAAUAUUGCACAAUGGGCGCAAGCCUGAUGCAGCGACGCCGCGUGAGGGAUGGAGGCCUUCGGGUUGUGAACCUCUUUCGCCAGUGAAGAAGGUCCUGCUCUUUGUGGUGGGGUUGACGGUAGCUGGGUUAAUGAAGCGCCGGCUAACUACGUG